UACGGAGGGUGCAAGCGUUGUUCGGAAUCACUGGGCGUAAAGCGCGUGUAGGCGGCCUCCUAAGUCUGAUGUGAAAGCCCGGGGCUCACCCCCGGAAGUGCAUUGGAUACUGGGAGGCUGGAGUACCGGAGAGGAGGGUGGAAUUCCUGGUGUAGCGGUGAAAUGCGUAGAUAUCUGGAGGAACAUCGGUGGCGAAGGCGGCAUCCUGGACCGGUAUUGACGCUGAGGCGCGAAAGCCAGGGGAGCAAACGGG
rnacentral:rRNA from 1 species